UACGGGGGGGGCAAGCGUUAUUCGGAAUUACUGGGCGUAAAGGGCUCGUAGGCGGCCAACUAAGUCAGACGUGAAAUCCCUCGGCUUAACCGGGGAACUGCGUCUGAUACUGGAUGGCUUGAAUCCGGGAGAGGGAUGCGGAAUUCCAGGUGUAGCGGUGAAAUGCGUAGAUAUCUGGAGGAACACCGGUGGCGAAGGCGGCAUCCUGGACCGGCAUUGACGCUGAGGAGCGAAAGCCAGGGGAGCAAACGGG
rnacentral:rRNA from 1 species